UACGUAGGGGGCAAGCGUUGUCCGGAUUUAUUGGGCGUAAAGAGCGUGUAGGCGGCCAGGUAGGUCCGUUGUGAAAACUGGAGGCUUAACCUCCAGCUGUCGAUGGAAACCAUCUGGCUAGAGUCCGGAAGAGGAGAGUGGAAAUUCCUGGUGUAGCGGUGAAAUGCGCAGAUAUCAGGAAGAACACCCGUGGCGAAGGCGGCUCUCUGGGGACGGGUACUGACG
rnacentral:rRNA from 1 species